UGUGAAAUAAUAAAACCUGGUGAAUCUCUACGGUUACAGCACCUCAGAAGGGACCUCAGAGCGCUGGGAAGCAUGCAUGUGGUUUACAGAUGAGCAAGCUCCAAGCUUUCCUGAGCAGUCAUCCUGUUUCCGAAUAACCUUAAAAACGACUUGCUCCUUGGGAUGUGCUUUUCCGUUUCCUAGCAGCAUACAGAAGCAGCAGCUUCUAACUCUAAUGGAAUUGCCUGGAUAGCAUGUGCGUUAAUGGGGAGGCUUCGGAAAGAGACAAAAGCAUUCUGAUGAAGAACAACACUGCAGAGAGAUCAAACCAGAAACGCUGAGGCCAAGAGUCAGUGAGCAGCCUGGGUUAUUAGUGCGCACCGCCAUGUGACACGGACUUCACCACGGUUAUCUGCGAGGCUGUGCUGAGGACUCACCCCCGACAGGAAGCCUCUCGCAAAUGCACGUUUAUAAAAGUCUGGGAACUGGAAAAGUGCUGUCUGGUGCAGCUACUUAGAUGGUGAUGACAUUUCUCACAGUUCCUGUACCCAAGCCUGGAUUAAUUUGGAAGUCUCUGCCGUCAAGCUUCCGUUCUUGCCAUUCCAACAGCAUCACUUUCAAAUCGUCGGACAGAAAGGUGCUCGCCGUUACCCAUUUUAUUCAGAUCAAGCACCGAAGCUGACCUCCCGGAUUAAAGAAUCGCAAUCCCAGGUAGUUCUUCUAACUUGGAAAAAAGUCUUCUCUCCAAAGGAGCCCGAGUGUACCCACGAACCAGUCUAUCUCUCCCAAAACACCUGCUCUACCAGUGACGGAUGAGAUCGCUGCAGGUGAAAUGCAAAUGAACACUUGACAAAAUUUCAGGUAGCUAUGUACAUUUUCUAAGAGCACAUUUGGAAAAAUAAAAGUGUAAUAGU